rnacentral:tRNA from 1 species
AGGAGUAUAGCUCAGUGGUAGAGCGUUCGACUGCAGAUCGAGAGGUCCCCGGUUCCAAUCCGGAUGUAUUCUAA